CCUACGGGAGGCAGCAGUGAGGAAUAUUGGUCAAUGGGCGCGAGCCUGAACCAGCCAAGUCGCGUGAGGGAAGACGGUCCUAUGGAUUGUAAACCUCUUUUGUCGGGGAGCAAAAGACGCCACGCGUGGCGUUCCGAGAGUACCCGAAGAAAAAGCAUCGGCUAACUCCGUGCCAGCAGCCGCGGUAAUACGGAGGAUGCGAGCGUUAUCCGGAUUUAUUGGGUUUAAAGGGUGCGCAGGCGGAGGAUCAAGUCAGCGGUAAAAUUGAGGGGCUCAACCUCUUCGAGCCGUUGAAACUGGUUGUCUUGAGUGAGUGAGAGGUAUGCGGAAUGCGUGGUGUAGCGGUGAAAUGCAUAGAUAUCACGCAGAACUCCGAUUGCGAAGGCAGCAUACCGGCGCUCAACUGACGCUGAGGCACGAAAGUGUGGGUAUCGAACAGGAUUAGAUACCCUUGUAGUC
rnacentral:rRNA from 1 species